CCUACGGGAGGCAGCAGUAGGGAAUAUUGCUCAAUGGUGGAAACCCUGAAGCAGCAACGCCGCGUGGAGGAUGAAGGUUUUCGGAUUGUAAACUCCUUUUGUUAGAGAAGAUAAUGACGGUAUCUAACGAAUAAGCACCGGCUAACUCCGUGCCAGCAGCCGCGGUAAUACGGAGGGUGCAAGCGUUACUCGGAAUGACUGGGCGUAAAGAGCGCGUAGGCGGGAUAGCAAGUCAGAUGUGAAAGCCUAGGGCUUAACCAUAGAACUGCAUUUGAAAAUGUUAUGCUGGAGUAUGGGAGAGGUAAGUGGAAUUAUUGGUGUAGGGGUAAAAUCCGUAGAGAUCAAGAGGAAGACGCAUUGCGAAGGCGACCUGCUAGAACAUAACUGACGCUGAGGCGCGAAAGCGUGGGGAGCAAACAGGAUUAGAUACCCUUGUAGUC
rnacentral:rRNA from 1 species